CAACCCUUAAGCCCUGUUGCUUAGCGUUGGGAGCCCGCUGGCCUCCGGCCUGCGGCUCCUCAAAGUUAGUGGCGGAGUUAGUGUAUACUCUAGGCGUAGUAAUUUUUAUCUCGCUUCUGUGGUUACGCUGGCGCCUGCCGUAAAACACCCCAAUUUUAAAU
rnacentral:misc_RNA from 1 species